GACGAACGCUGGCGGCGCGCCUAAUACAUGCAAGUUGAGCGCUGAAGGUUGGUACUUGUACCGACUGGAUGAGCAGCGAACGGGUGAGUAACGCGUGGGGAAUCUGCCUUUGAGCGGGGGACAACAUUUGGAAACGAAUGCUAAUACCGCAUAAAAACUUUAAACACAAGUUUUAAGUUUGAAAGAUGCAAUUGCAUCACUCAAAGAUGAUCCCGCGUUGUAUUAGCUAGUUGGUGAGGUAAAGGCUCACCAAGGCGAUGAUACAUAGCCGACCUGAGAGGGUGAUCGGCCACAGUGGGACUGAGACACGGCCCAAACUCCUACGGGAGGCAGCAGUAGGGAAUCUUCGGCAAUGGACGAAAGUCUGACCGAGCAACGCCGCGUGAGUGAAGAAGGUUUUCGGAUCGUAAAACUCUGUUGGUAGAGAAGAACGUUGGUGAGAGUGGAAAGCUCAUCAAGUGACGGUAACUACCCAGAAAGGGACGGCUAACUACGUG
rnacentral:rRNA from 1 species